rnacentral:rRNA from 1 species
UACGAAGGGGGCUAGCGUUGUUCGGAAUUACUGGGCGUAAAGCGUGCGCAGGCGGUUCGCUAAGACAGAUGUGAAAUCCCCCGGGCUUAACCUGGGAACUGCAUUUGUGACUGGCGGGCUAGAGUAUGGCAGAGGGGGGUAGGAAUUCCACGUGUAGCAGUGAAAUGCGUAGAGAUGUGGAGGAAUACCGAUGGCGAAGGCAGCCCCCUGGGCCAAUACUGACGCUCAUGCACGAAAGCGUGGGGAGCAAACAGG